GGCGUGGGGGGUAUCCCCCACUGCGGGCCUGUCAAGCCCGUGACCCGGGUUCAAAUCCCGGCCGCGGCA
rfam:Sulfolobus acidocaldarius DSM 639, complete genome.